CCUACGGGGGGCAGCAGUGAGGAAUAUUGGUCAAUGGGCGAGAGCCUGAACCAGCCAAGUCGCGUGAAGGAUGACGGCUCUACGGGUUGUAAACUUCUUUUGUCAGGGAGCAAUUGAGUCCACGUGUGGUCUUAGCGAGAGUACCUGAAGAAAAAGCAUCGGCUAACUCAGUGCCAGCAGCCGCGGUCAUACGGAGGAUGCGAGCGUUAUCCGGAUUGAUUGGGUUAAAAGGAUGCGUAGGCGGAAUAUCAAGUCAGCGGUAAAAAUUCGGGGCUAAACCCCGUCGUGCCGUUGAAACUGAUGUUCUUGAGUGGGCGAGAAGUAUGCGGAAGGCGUGGUGUAGCGGUGAAAUGCAUAGAUAUCACGCAGAACUCCGAUGGCGAAGGCAGCAUACCGGCGCCCAACUGACGCUGAGGCACGAAAGCGUGGGUAUCGAACAGGAUUAGAUACCCCAGUAGUC
rnacentral:rRNA from 1 species